UCCAUAUGCCGCGGGAGCGGCCCAAGAAAUGGCAACAACAACAACAAUAAAAACAACAACAACAACAAAAAAGACAGAAAAAUAAAUUAAAAAAAAAAAUCACAGGGUCUGGGAAACUUUGAAACAUCCCACUUUGUGUGCGCGUGUGUCUUUUUAGGGCUGCACCUGUGGCAUAUGGACGUUCCCAGGCUACGCUUCAGCCACAGCGAUGCGGGGUCCUUAACCCACUGAGCGAGGCCAGGGAUCGAACCUGCGUCCUCGUGGAUACUAGUCACAUUCCUUUUCUGCUGAGCCCCGACGGGAGCCCCUGAGGUUGGGCUCCUGUUUGUCGUGCGUCCUGACUCUCCUCUGUAAAGAUCCGGAUGGGGGCGUUUCAGUGGAUGUGGAGUAUGUUGGCUUGUCUUCCUCAGUUUUCCUUCUGCUGCUUCGUCUGUGUUCUUCCUCUUUGGCCGCAGCACACCAACCCCACUCACCCGUGGCCGCCCGAAGCCCCUCCCGGAGACGCGGUGUGCGCACGUGAACUUGGGGGGACGUGCGCCAGUCCGUCAGGGCCGGCUUGCUUGCUGGUGCUUUGCUGGGGUUGCAGUGAGCAGGGGGCCGCAGAGCAGGCGUCUCCUUCUGCUGCUUCAGCAGGCGUCUCGUCUCCGGCUCCGGUGUUCUGUCCUCCCGGCCCGCGCCCUCACGUGGUCCUCCCCGCGCGGGGGUCUGCGCCCAGGUUUCCCCCUUGCGCGAGGUGCUGGCGGCCGGAGGCCACUCGGACGCCCUCGUCCUGUUGACCUCGGCCUCCCGCAGGCCCUCUCUGCAGAGGUCACGCUCGGAGGUUACUGGCCUCGGGAUCCGGGGCGGCCUCCCUCGCCCCUGUGCCAGCUGCUCCUGCUGCGGAGAGAGUUGCCAGGCCGGGGACCGAGGCCGUGCCCCAGCGGGAGCCCAGGCCCCACGCCUCGAGCCUGCGGGUGGGGGACACGCGCGUGCUCGCUCACAGAGAGCGCUGGGGAGACCGCUGUGUCUUGUCUGUGCCCCAGCACCCGGCUGGGCCGGGCCCCGCGUGGCGGGGAUGCCCGGUCACCAGGGAUCCGCCACCUGGAGCGCGGGCAGGAGCCGCGUUCGUUCUCCAGCGGAACCUACCUGGUCUCCCGUCCCCGACGCUGGGCUCGGGCGGCAGCGACCGCUCUCGGCGACGAGGCCCCUGGACGGUGACUUGUUGGACGUGCUAGCCGGUCGGGCAGAAGGCUCGGGCGUCGGGAGUGGUGACGAGUGUCCCGAGGCAACUGUGGCAGAGCUUGUGCUGGCUUCCGUCCACAGCCUGUGUGGUCCCUGCUCCCUGGAUGGGGUCGCUCCUGCCAGGCCUGUUCCAGGGCCGAGCCCCAGGGUGGCCACGCCAGCCCUGCUGGAAGCGCGUUCUCCGGCCUGGGGGUGGCCACGCUGUCCUGGGCCCCAAAGCCCCUCACUGUCGGGCCUGCCCUCCCAGGCCGGCCACCCCGGUCAGCCUGCUCUGCCCCUCUCUCGGGGGGACCUGUCUCCUCCUGGGUUUAUUUUGCAUUUCUCUUAUGUUAAAUCCAUUUUAAAAUCAUCUUCCUCAUGAUAAACUUUAAAAUUUGACCUGUAGGAUCAAUACACGUCUGUCCUUUGUGUUAUAAAUACAGAUAUUUAGGAGUUCCCGUCGUGGCGCAGUGGUUAGCAAAUCUGACUAGGACCAUGAGGUUGUGGGUUCGAUCCUGGCCCUGCUCAGCGGGUUAGGGAACCAGCGUUGCCGUGAGCUGUGGUGUGGGUUGCAGAUGUGGCUCGGAUCCCGCGUUGCUGUGGCUCUGGCGUAGGCUGGUGGCUACAGCUCCGAUUCAACCCCUAGCCUGGGAACCUCCAUAUGCUGUGGGAGCGGCCCAAGAAAUGGCAAAAAGACCAAAAAAAA
rnacentral:lncRNA from 1 species